UACGGGGGGAGCAAGCGUUGUUCGGAUUUACUGGGCGUAAAGGGCGCGUAGGCGGCGCAACAAGUCACUUGUGAAAUCUCCGGGCUUAACCCGGAGCGGUCAAGUGAUACUGUCGUGCUAGAGUGCGGAAGGGGCUACUGGAAUUCUCGGUGUAGCGGUGAAAUGCGUAGAUAUCGAGAGGAACACCUGCGGCGAAGGCGGGUUGCUGGGCCGACACUGACGCUGAGGCGCGGAAAGCCCAGGGGAGCGAACGGG
rnacentral:rRNA from 1 species